rnacentral:lncRNA from 1 species
CUCUUAUUGUUAUUUAAUGUUCAAAGUUUUUGGUUGAUCAUUCAUAUAUAAUCUUUGUGAAAGUUUUGUAUUCCCAUGGUACCUGAAACAUACAAGUCCUUAGUGAGCAUGUAUUGACUUAAUUCAAUUUGACUUAAGCAUUUGGGGGAGAUCUGGAGGAGUAUUUUGUGUGAUCACAUGAACAAAUAGUUCUUUUAUUCUUCAUUCUUCCUGUUUUACUAAUGUGUUUCUGUUGAAAAAAAAAGUAAGCUACUGCUUUUGCACAGCCUCUAUGAAUAAGUAUCUUGAGAAAGAGUCUGUUAUGUUUAUAUUUGUUUUUGAUCUCACAGAUCAGGACCCACAUCACCUUUUGUGAUAUAACCCCAUUCUAAGAUAUCAGCUUCCGUGUGGGGAAAUCAAAAUAAAAUUCAUGUGGUUCUCUGAAGACACUACCUAGCACCUGAUCUAAUCUGAUCAUUUCACUUGUUGCUAAAAAUCAUGGAAGAUGGAAAGAACCCCAGUGGCCAGCUAAUCUAAAUCAUACCUCAAACAGAAUCCACACUUGAGCAUACUUAACACAUGGGCAUUCACCCUCUUUUUAGAAUGUCUCAUCACAAUUCAGGUACCUCAUUAAGAGAAAUAUUUAAGGGCCGAUUUCCUUACAAACCUGUGUAAACGUAGCAUUUGAAUUAAAAUUAAUUUUUGACAAUAAUCAAACUAAAGGAAGCCCACUGGUCCCAAGGCUGAUCUUGACUUUCUCCUCUUUAGCAGAAAAUGGUCUCUCUGGCCUGAGCAGCACAAGGAGAAGCAGUUCACCCAAGAAGGGAGAGCCAUUAGGCCAGAUUCUCACUAAAGCUGUCACCAUGAUGAUGAUGGAUGAGAGAAGGCUCUGAAAAUGAACCCAUGUAAUCCGGAGGAUUUUCAGCAAACAAAUACAAAUUCAACUUAAUACCCAAACGUGGCUUGUCUGUGAGAACCACCCGACAGGUCCACUCUUCAGGAGGCCCCGCCUGGAUGUUAAGCUUCUGUCCCUGGUGAAGCUGGGUACGUACAACAGAGCAGAGCAUGCAAUCCAGGCCCCACUGGAGUGGCAAGCAAAGCUCCCAGUUCCAUUUCUUUCUGUACAUCAUUAUUCAGAUAAUCUAAACAUAUGCUUUGCUGUGUAUAUAUUCAGAGGAAGCUGAAAUUACAGAGUAACUUGGUUCCCCUCCUAAGAUUUUUAGUCAAGUUCUUUCCAUUUGAACAUUGGGGAACAGAGUAGAAUGUUGCUGUGUCAGAUACACAUUGGGAUCCUAUCUUGUCUAUAAGAUGUUGGAGCAGACUUCACCAGUGAGUGGAAAGUCUCCUGGAGAGUGCAAAGAUGGCACUGGACUUUGGUGCCAGGAGACCAGCCUGGAGUGUCAUCUAUGGGUGGUAGAGAUGGUACAUUAAUGCAGUCUUAAUAGUGUAAGAGUUAAAAUGAAGAGAUUGGCCUCAAAUUAAUAAUUUUAUUAAAUCAAAAAUAGCAGAGAAAGAAAGAUGGAAAAAUAGGAGAGAUAUAAAAGGUACUUUCCUGAUUGCUCCAUUUAGCUUGCUAUUUUAUGGCUGCCAUGAAGGGCCCCCUCUCUCACAGGCAAGUCCAGUCAGCACCAAACAUGGAAGAGAGUGAAAUACACUCUUGCCUCAUUUAUCAAAUUUAUUCUCCACCCAUUAACUCUCACACAUGAUGUCUCCAGAUCCAAAUAUGACUUUUUAUUUUGCCUGUGCCACCUAGGGCAUUACAGGGGAGAUGGCACUGCCCUCUGUCUUGCAAUAUUCUUGACUCCAUUUUUCCGGCUGCUGUUCUGCCCUCAUGACUCAGUUUACCCAAUGAUUUCCCUUUCAUAGUCCUUGUUUCCUGGUCAAAUUUUAACUUAAUACCAAGUACGUGUAGUGGAAAGGGGGACAGGUAAAUUUCCUUUUGCACAUUGGCAUUCAAUUGUUGGGUAAGGUGGUGGUUUUUUUGGUACAGAAAUAUUUUGCAAAAACACUUAAAUGGGAAUAACUCUUUAAAAAAUCGAUCACAGACUUGGAGAUGGAAGGAAUGUAAGACUAACUAAUAUCAGAAUUUAAAGAUGUCCUCAAAUCCCUUCUCACAGAUGACCAGGAUAACCUGGCUCAAAAAAUGGAACGAGCAGUUUCUCUAGUGGUGUUUCCAAGUGCCAGGCUGAGAAUGGGGUGAGCUGAGGGCUCAACCAGAUUGGGUGGGGCAUUUGGCUCAGGCUUCUUUCACCAUAGCCAAAGGACCUAUCUUAAUUGUAUUCCCAGGAAACACCUGGGAAAUCACCUACCACGCUUCCCAAGGCUUAUUUUUCAUAGGAUAAUAAACUUUUUUAAAAAAGAGAGAAAAAAAGUACA